rnacentral:rRNA from 1 species
CCAGACUCUACGGGAGGCAGCAGUGGGGAAUAUUGCACAAUGGGGGAAACCCUGAUGCAGCGACGCCGCGUGAGCGAUGAAGUAUUUCGGUAUGUCAAGCUCUAUCAGCAGGGAAGAAAAUGACGGUACCUGACUAAGAAGCCCCGGCUAACUACGUGCCAGCAGCCGCGGUAAUACGUAGGGGGCAAGCGUUAUCCGGAUUUACUGGGUGUAAAGGGAGCGUAGACGGCGGUGCAAGCCAGAUGUGAAAGCCCGGGGCUCAACCCCGGGACUGCAUUUGGAACUGUGCUGCUAGAGUGUCGGAGAGGCAGGCGGAAUUCCUAGUGUAGCGGUGAAAUGCGUAGAUAUUACACAGAACACCGAUUGCGAAGGCAGCUUGCUAGGCCGGAUCUGACACUGAUGCACGAAAGCGUGGGGAUCGAACAGGAUUAGAUACCCCUGUA